rnacentral:siRNA from 1 species
CACAAAAGUGCCUUGCCCCGUAAG